rnacentral:lncRNA from 1 species
AGUGAGCCCCAGAUCCAGGGACUAAGGCAGCAGGGGUGAAAGCAGGCAGCAGGAAGUACCUCACCUUUCAGGAUGGGGGCCGCCAUGACAGACGGCGGGAUCCGGCCAGCUGGCCUACGCGGUGCUUGCGAGCCUGGCGGCGCGCGCGGGCACUGGGCAUGCGCGGGGUGAGCGCGCCGCCGUCACCGCGCUCCGCUGAAUCCGCGUUUCCGGGAUUUCUCUGUAGUGACUUAGAAGCUACCCGGCGCCUCAUCUGGGCUCACCUGAGCUGAGGAUCAGGAAGGGGAGGGGGCACAGUCAUUCCCUCGCGGACGCGGCGGGACCCCAGCGGACGGCUUUGUGCGGACUUUCGGCACCGUUAUGCCCCCCUAGCCCGACACCACCUGGGGCUGGCGCGCCACGUUACUGUUCAGGGCCAGACGCACCGCCCUGCCUGCUCCGGGGAGCCGGACCUCCGAUCCCGGGGAUGGGGGACCCCGAGACCUCAGACCCAACGGAGGGGACUCUGAUACCUCAGACCCCACGCGGGGACCCCGAGGCUUCAGACCCCCACAGGGUGACCCCGAGAUCUCAGACCCCCGCAGGAGUACCUCCAGACCUCAAAUCCCCAGUAAGGGAAUGAAAGAGACUUCGGAUCCCUGAGGCAGCAAAUCCCUGUAGGGGCAUCCCAGGACUCAGGUCACCGCGGGGUGAACCCAGACCUCACAUUCAGGCAAUCCCCAGGACGCCGAUCGGCUGGCACUACCCACUGUCCCGGCCACCCCCCCUGGAGCUCAAAGGCUUGGCCCUCCAGCUGCUCCACCCUGCCGGCAACCAGGCUCAAACCUGCAGCCCGCGGAUCCCCUGCCCCGGAAGCAACCAGAUUCGCGGGAGGUUACCUGACUGAUCCAAGGUGAUACAGCUGGUAACUGAUGGAGAUGUUGGUAGUGAAAUUCAUGUACUUUUAGUUCUUUCUAUGGAAUCUAGAGGUAGAAUACAUGUAAAAGAAUAUCGACUACCGUCUACUCAGGUCUCUGUUUUAUCUGUUUAUUCAUUCACUCUCAGCUUUUAAUAGGAUCCAAUGAGCCCUCUGUGGUUCUGAAGAAUUGCCUUGAGUAUAUGCAGCCUCAAAAAACCCACUUCCUAGGCUCAGUCUUUGAUCAAUAUUUAUCAUUAUCACCAGUUAUUGUUCUAAUAAACUCUACUCUGGA